rnacentral:rRNA from 1 species
GAUGAACGCUGGCGGCGUGCCUAAUACAUGCAAGUCGAGCGAACAGACGAGGAGCUUGCUCCUCUGACGUUAGCGGCGGACGGGUGAGUAACACGUGGAUAACCUACCUAUAAGACUGGGAUAACUUCGGGUAACCGGAGCUAAUACCGGAUAAUAUAUUGAACCGCAUGGUUCAAUAGCGAAAGACGGUUUUGCUGUCACUUAUAGAUGGAUCCGCGCCGCAUUAGCUAGUUGGUAAGGUAACGGCUUACCAAGGCAACGAUGCGUAGCCGACCUGAGAGGGUGAUCGGCCACACUGGAACUGAGACACGGUCCAGACUCCUACGGGAGGCAGCAGUAGGGAAUCUUCCGCAAUGGGCGAAAGCCUGACGGAGCAACGCCGCGUGAGUGAUGAAGGUCUUCGGAUCGUAAAACUCUGUUAUUAGGGAAGAACAAAUGUGUAAGUAACUAUGCACGUCUUGACGGUACCUAAUCAGAAAGCCACGGCUAACUACGUG